rnacentral:rRNA from 1 species
AACGGAGNAUACUGAUAAUAUAUUGAACCGCAUGGUUCAAUUGUGAAAGACGGUUUUGCUGUCACUUAUAGAUGGAUCCGCGCCGCAUUAGCUAGUUGGUAAGGUAACGGCUUACCAAGGCAACGAUGCGUAGCCGACCUGAGAGGGUGAUCGGCCACACUGGAACUGAGACACGGUCCAGACUCCUACGGGAGGCAGCAGCG